rnacentral:rRNA from 1 species
AGUAAUGCUUAGGAAUCUGCCUAUUAGUGGGGGACAACAUCUCGAAAGGGAUGCUAAUACCGCAUACGUCCUACGGGAGAAAGCAGGGGAUCUUCGGACCUUGCGCUAAUAGAUGAGCCUAAGUCGGAUUAGCUAGUUGGUGGGGUAAAGGCCUACCAAGGCGACGAUCUGUAGCGGGUCUGAGAGGAUGAUCCGCCACACUGGGACUGAGACACGGCCCAGACUCCUACGGGAGGCAGCAGUGGGGAAUAUUGGACAAUGGGGGGAACCCUGAUCCAGCCAUGCCGCGUGUGUGAAGAAGGCCUUAUGGUUGUAAAGCACUUUAAGCGAGGAGGAGGCUACUUUAGUUAAUACCUAGAGAUAGUGGACGUUACUCGCAGAAUAAGCACCGGCUAACUCUGUGCCAGCAGCCGCGGUAAUACA